CGCUGCGGCGGGGCUGGGGGGGAGGGGCGAGGCGGCGUCCUGUGGUGCCGCCCGCCUCCCUCAGCCCAGGUGAGGCGCGACGGCCCCGGCGCGGGUGUAGCCGCGGCCCCCGCGGGGUCACCUGCCCCCUCAGGCCUUGGGCAGCGGCGUGCGGCGCUUCCUGCCCUCGGGAAAAAUCACUUCCAUGAAUUGAGGCGCUUCCGAGGCAGGAAAUCCUGCGCGCUGUGAGCCGGCCCGUCGCCGUGUGAGGGGAGCAGGCCCUCGGGCCGGGCAGAGCCGGGCUUGGAGGACCGUCAGACUGCUUUAUGAUGGAUCAUGGUCUGCCAGUGAUCUCUGGAUAACAAGGUGAAGAACAUUGUGAACCAUGAACACAGUUAUAGAUGUGCUCUGGGAAGUCUGGAAAACAGAAUAGAGAAAUCUCAGUGUGAAGGACUUCUAUAAUGCAUGAGCCAACAAUGUAUGUUACUGGUAAGAAGAGAGCUUGUCACCGUAUCUAAUGUACACUGCUUAGAGAAUAAUUCCUGUUGUGGAAGAAAAAUAGGGAAAAGUGAUACAACUUUAACACAUACUCAUUCUAGAGACUACACAUCAGAGAGGUUCCCUCCGUGCACCAUCUGUUUCUCUGCAAUUGGGAAUGGUAGAAUAAUUUUCUGAAGAAUUGUUGACAAGACAUGGCAAGGGAACAAUAAUCCAUAAGGACAAGAUUUCUCAUUUAAGUCACUCAGCUUAUCUGCAAUAUAGCAAGAUUUUGAUUUACACUGGUCACCUUUGGAGCAGGGAGGACAGUGACUGAUGCUCAGAGGAAAAUGAGGAAACAUGGCUGGAGACUCUAAGAAAACCAAGAUCACAUCGCAAGAUCGUUGCAGAAUGAUCACAUCAUCAUACAAACGAUUGAUGCUCCUUUGAAUCAAGAGGAAAACCAUAAGAAAAAUGCACUGCAUAUACACAAUUUCAGAGUUUUAAGUGUGAACUGCUGCUAAAGGCUCAUCGGAAAAUCCUACUGUAUACUGAGGUAGACCUCAUCUACCAUUGAAAUGCAAGGACCUCUGCAAAGUGGUAACAAAAUCAGAUGGAAUCACCCUGGUUACUAAAACUUUGGAGAACUUGGUGGAAUAUUCUGGAGUCCUCUUGCCGCUGCUACUGUUGUUCCAGUGGCAGGUGGCCUACACCAACAAAGCCCUGUAAUGCUUCACAUUCGGCUGUGACAUCUUUUCCUUUUCCAACACAUACUCGUGUGAUGCAGUAGGCUAGAGGCGGCCCAGGCACUACUAGCUGAAGAGGUUUAAUCAAAGAAGGAAGGAAGAAGAGAAGAAUGUUCCCUCUGAGAUACUCAUGGGUGAUACCAGCCGUAGCAAAACAAGCUCAGAAACCUGAACUCCGGUCACUUCUCAGGAACUGAUGAUGACAACCUUCAGAAAGUAGCAGACUGCUGAGACACAGCAGCAGACCUUCAAACAGCUGCAGAAAUCCCAGGAGGUCUUUUCUUUAUGUGGGGGCACGGCAACGAAAUUGUGUUGUCAUACCAGCUCCCUCAGCACAUCAAUAACCUU